rnacentral:rRNA from 1 species
UACGUAGGGGGCUAGCGUUGUCCGGAUUUAUUGGGCGUAAAGAGCGUGUAGGCGGCCAUGUAGGUCCGGUGUGAAAACUCGAGGCUUAACCUCGAGAUGUCAUCGGAAACCAUUUGGCUAGAGUCCGGAAGAGGAGAGUGGAAUUCCUGGUGUAGUGGUGAAAUGCGUAGAUAUCGGGAGGAACACCAGUGGCGAAGGCGACUACCUGGCCUGUUCUUGACGCUGAGGCGCGAAAGCUAGGGGAGCAAACGGG